rnacentral:rRNA from 1 species
GACGAACGCUGGCGGCGUGCUUAACACAUGCAAGUCGAACGGAAAGGCCUGCUUUCCCUUGUGGAUUGCGGGUACUCGAGUGGCGAACGGGUGAGUAACACGUGAGUGAUCUGCCCCCAACUUGGGUAUAAGCCUGGGAAACUGGGUCUAAUUCCCGAUAGGACUGCAGGGUGGUGCCUGUGGUGGAAAACGAUUUUCUAGUGGUUGGGGAUGAGCUCGCGGCCUAUCAGCUUGUUGGUGGGGUAAUGGCCUACCAAGGCGGCGACGGGUAGCCGGCCUGAGAGGGUGGACGGGCACAUUGGGACUGAGAUACGGCCCAGACUCCUACGGGAGGCAGCAGUGGGGAAUAUUGCACGAUGGGCGGAAGCCUGAUGCAGCGACGCCGCGUGGGGGAUGACGGCCUUCGGGUUGUAAACUCCUUUCGACCGCGAGGAAGCCACCUGGUUGGAAGGGUGGUGACGGUAGUGGUAGAAGAAGCACCGGCUAACUACGUG